UCUAGGGCGUCAUCUAGCCUCCAAGGAACUUCUUGGGUCAGUUCAUUGCAGAACCUUGCCAAACAAUCAUAAUUGGCUCGGUAUAGAGCGGUUGCAGGUUGUAGUAGGUUGAUACAUCCGGCAUAGGUGUCAAGAAGGCUAUUCAUCUUAGUCUUCUCCUUGAGCCAACCCAAACUCUCAUUCUUCAAGGCAGAAAAACGGCAUUUCCAGUGUUCGACAAUUGCAAUGGCCAUCUCAAUCUGGUGGCACUUCUCCU
rnacentral:lncRNA from 1 species